GAAUAAAUGCUCAUCACUUCAUAGUUCAAAGUCAAAGAAUACGAAGCGGUUGAAUUUUAAGAAAAAUGAAGUUUUUAUUUGCUUUCUUUUUGAUAUUAAGCAUAUUUGCUAUUUGCCUGGGCAUUAGUCCAAAGCUACUCGAAUCUUCACUGGACUCAGAACAUGGACAGUUUAGUAAUGACGAACUUUCACCUGGUACGCUAAAAAGACUGCCAGUACGUUAAGUCAAAUUGAAAAUAAUUCAAUUUUAUAUAAAAAUAAAAAGAACAUAAUAACUAAUACUA